AGCCUCAAGGGAAGGAUUCUAACAGUCUAGCAAACAUUGAGAUGACUAAGAACUAACAACCAGAGUCCUGUUACUGCAGUGAGGUUAAGGCUAGUUCUGAGCUCCACGUUUCCUGGUGCUGGAAUCCUCCCUUACCUAGCUAGUGUCACUACUGGAAGAGAGAUGCUUCAUUCCUAUUCCUCUACCCACCCAACAGAUACUGUGAGGUCUUACCUUGGUGAUUCCAGAAUUCUAAAAUAAAUGGAAAGAGCCUCAACUAUCAAACUGACAAUGCAAUAGUUUUCUGAAAUGCUGAAAGAAAAGAAAGGCUUGGAUCAUGAAGAACUCAAAAGUAGGACUGAAAUUUUUUCUCCAAGUAGCAAGUCCUUGAUGAAAGACUUGAUUGGCUCAGCUUUAACCAGAGGCCAUUCCCAGGACCAUUCAAAAAACCAGAGGUGGGGCCAGGGCUUCCUAAGUAUUUCAUCUGUGUGUGGGAAAUCUCUUAAUAAGUCAAAAUUUACAGACAAGACUGAUUUCUUUCAGUAAGUAACUUUUCUAUUUAUUAUUAUUAUUUUUUUUGCUUGUGUUAACCUUUUAAGCUCUAUGCUUUCUCAAGAGGGGUAAAGGUGAAGUAUUUCAAAUAUGUCAGGGAAUUCUCAGGCAUCAAUUAGUAUGAAAUUCCCCAAGUGCAAAUACCUGUCUUCCUUCCAAACAAUGUUCCUUUUUACAAAGCUUGUGCAUAUGGUGGCUCCAGAAACAAAAGCCAUCCUCUUCCCUUGUGGAGAAAUAACAACAAAAUAGUCACUUUGAAGACAGACUGUUUUCUUCUCUGCCCUUGUCUCCAGGGGAAGCCAUG
rnacentral:lncRNA from 12 species